AAUAGAUACCCAGGUAGUCCACGCCGUAAACGAUGAGUGCUAAGUGUUAGAGGGUUUCCGCCCUUUAGUGCUGCAGCUAACGCAUUAAGCACUCCGCCUGGGGAGUACGGUCGCAAGACUGAAACUCAAAGGAAUUGACGGGGGCCCGCACAAGCGGUGGAGCAUGUGGUUUAAUUCGAAGCAACGCGAAGAACCUUACCAGGUCUUGACAUCCCACUGACCAGUAUAGAGAUAUACCUUUCCCUUCGGGGACAGUGGUGACAGGUGGUGCAUGGUUGUCGUCAGCUCGUGUCGUGAGAUGUUGGGUUAAGUCCCGCAACGAGCGCAACCCUUGAUCUUAGUUGCCAGCAUUUAGUUGGGCGCUCUAAGGUGACUGCCGGUGACAAACCGGAGGAAGGUGGGGAUGACGUCAAAUCAUCAUGCCCCUUAUGACCUGGGCUACACACGUGCUACAAUGGAUGGUACAAAGGGCUGCAAGACUGCGAAGUCAAGCCAAUCCCAUAAAACCAUUCUCAGUUCGGAUUGCG
rnacentral:rRNA from 1 species